rnacentral:rRNA from 1 species
GAUGAACGCUGGCGGCGUGCCUAAUACAUGCAAGUCGAGCGAACGGACGAGAGUGCCUGCACUCUCUGAUGUUAGCGGCGGACGGGUGAGUAACACGUGGGUAACCUACCUAUAAGACUGGGAUAACUUCGGGAAACCGGAGCUAUACCGGAUAAUAUUUAGCUUCGCAUGAAGCAAUAGUGAUAGACGGUUCUGCUGUCACUUAUAGAUGGACCCGCGGUGUAUUAGCUAGUUGGUGAGGUAACGGCUCACCAAGGCAACGAUACAUAGCCGACCUGAGAGGGUGAUCGGCCACACUGGGACUGAGACACGGCCCAGACUCCUACGGGAGGCAGCAGUAGGGAAUCUUCCGCAAUGGACGAAAGUCUGACGGAGCAACGCCGCGUGAGUGAAGAAGGUUUUCGGAUCGUAAAACUCUGUUGUAAGGGAAGAACAAGUACGUUAGUAACUGAACGUACCUUGACGGUACCUUACCAGAAAGCCACGGCUAACUACGUGCCAGCAGCCGCAGUAACAC